rnacentral:rRNA from 1 species
UACAGAGGUCUCAAGCGUUGUUCGGAUUCAUUGGGCGUAAAGGGUGUGUAGGUGGCGCCGUAAGUCGGGUGUGAAAUCUCGGGGCUUAACUCCGAAACUGCAUUCGAUACUGCGGUGCUUGAGGACUGGAGAGGAGACUGGAAUUCGUGGUGUAGCAGUGAAAUGCGUAGAUAUCGUAAGGAAGACCAGUGGCGAAGGCGGGUCUCUGGACAGUUCCUGACGCUGAGGCACGAAGGCCAGGGGAGCAAACGGG